UACGAAGGGGGCUAGCGUUGCUCGGAAUCACUGGGCGUAAAGGGUGCGUAGGCGGGUCUUUAAGUCAGGGGUGAAAUCCUGGAGCUCAACUCCAGAACUGCCUUUGAUACUGAGGAUCUUGAGUCCGGGAGAGGUGAGUGGAAUUCCCAGUGUAGAGGUGAAAUUCGUAGAUAUUGGGAAGAACACCGGUGGCGAAGGCGGCUCACUGGCUCGUAUCUGACGCUCAGGCGCGACAGCGUGGGGAUCAAACAGG
rnacentral:rRNA from 1 species